AAAGAGAAACACUGAAUGCAAACAUCAUACACAGUAAUGACUGAUGAAAAAGGCACAAACAACAGUAUCUUCAAGUGCAAACAAGCGAAACAAAAAAUGGUAAUACUGUGAGGAACAUUGACAACUGUCAAGAACCACAACAAGAAGCCACCAGGAGCUUUAAAUGACCCCUUCGCCGGUGUAUUCCCUGGGAGCAACUGUUCUAAGUCAGCUAAAUGCAGAUACACCGUCCCUUCUUGUGCUCCUCUCAAAGGAAAAAGCUGCCUUGAAAGAUUAGGCCUAUUUUACUUAUGCUGUUUGUCAGGUCUCUUUUUUCAAUGUUUUCUCAACCAUCAACAAUCAUGAGCAGCCUUGGACUAAGCUAAGUACUUGCCUGUAUCCUACAGAAGUGCCAGAGUGUCCUUAAGCUCCUUUCCCACACUGUCUCUGAUAUUAGGCUGCUCUGUGGAACACCUCUGAACUGCAGCACUGACACAGAGCACCAGGGCUUAGGUUUUGGCAUGGGACUGCAUGCUGUCUUGAUCUCACACCUUCCUGGAGGUUUUUCUGCUGUCCAAUGGAGUUACAGUUGUGUCAGAGCAUCUCGUUGUGAUUACUUAUAAUGACUGCAGAAACGAUCACCAUUCUGUACCACAAAGAUACCAUCGAUAGCAACAUCUCACAAAAGCUACAUUUGCUCUACUGCUUAUUCAGGCAACGAUAUUGGGUCUAAAAGAUUUGAAAUAGAAAGCAUUGGGUUUAUAAUCCAGAGCGGCCUUUGCACUUCACAGCAGUGCGCUAACGCUUCCAUUACCUUGGCAGGCCAACUGCUUAGCUCAUCGCUAGGUACAAUAGGCAAUUAUCGUUUGACUGACAUCUGAAAAAAUAGAUUGCAGUUGGACAGUGAGGAAAUUAUUCUGUCUGUGAAUCUGGACACGAAACUAGGCAAGCCUGCAGCCUUUGUGUUGAAGUCCGUGGGAGCAACUGAAAGAUGCUCAAGGGGACAAUACGAAGAUGCAGUGAAUUCAAGUGAGAAAAGCGUGCUGAUGUGACGGAAGAGACGCCGGGAGGCUGCAUGGAGAGGACUGACAGGACGAUAUGGCUCCUCUCAGGAAUUAUUGCAUGAGAAAGGCCAGUGAAUCUUUGGGAUCUUUUCUUGCUUUUCAUUGCAAAUGAAUGAGAAGAAAUCCCCAAUCCCCAAAAGCCAGAGAGCCAGCGCACCCAGUGGAACUCAGCCAAGGGAAAGGGGGGAGCAGCGUUUGGCUUUCCUCGCCUUCCUGUGAGAGAGGUCCAGCCCAGCCACCGUCUCCGGUGCCUGAGACACCUACAGACACCAUCCAGAAAGAGACUCUCUCGUUUCGCCCAUCUGCUUAAGCAGCGAAACUGUUUCUCUUCUACUUCUGGACUUUGUAUAUCCACUCGGGACUUGGUAGAAAUUGGCCUGGAGCUUGUAUUACUAAUUUCUUGUAACAACAUUAUUACUAAAAUUACACACUUCCUAACAUUUCCUCUGCAGGGGGGAGUUAAAUUCUUUUUGCUAUCUAUGAUUAUUUUGCCACAGGCUUUGUGCUUUUGAUCUUAUUGGAAAUUUUUUGUUGUUGUUUUAAUUCAUUUUCUUGGAGCUGUUCAUGUGCAUGACAAAUGCACUUAUGUCUACCAAGUUCUCCAUUUUCACAUUUUGUGCCAGAAAAUUAAAAUGGUUUAAACAAAACCAGGG